GUUCCGUACGCAUUGUUACAUGCCGCUUCGAUUAGUCAUGUUAUCAUAAAUAUAAGAUUACAAAGAGACACUUUUAUUAUCGGUAUGUCUGAAUCCGUAAAAGUAGCAGUAAGAUGUCGGCCUAUGUCCAACAAAGAAUUGCAACACGGAUGUCGGAACGUCGUGACAAUCGAUCCAUUAACGAAAUCGUGCACUCUGGAAAGUUCCGGCGGAGGUGGAAAGGUUUAUCAAUUUGACGCCACGUUUAGUCCAUCCUCGACAACGGAAUUGGUCUACGAAGAUGUGGGUUCAGUUAUCGUCGAAGCUGUUUUGGAGGGUUACAAUGGCACCGUGUUUGCCUACGGGCAGACCGGCUGCGGAAAAUCGUUCACUAUGCGAGGUUUCAUCGAGCGUGCUUUGGAGCAUCUGUUCGAGGCAACUUCGACUGCCAGUUCCGAGACAAGAUAUUUAGCGGUAUUGAGUUAUCUCGAGAUCUACAACGAGCGAUUGCGUGAUCUGCUGCAAGACGACACCGGGGAGACCCUGACUCUGAAGGAAGACCCCACGCGGGGUACCUACGUUGCCGGGGGGUUGCGCGAGGUCACUGUGAAGGAUGCGGCCGAGUGCACCGCUCUGGUCCACCAGGGAGAUCAGAGAAGAGCAGCGGCUGCGACGAAAAUGAAUGCUGUCAGUUCGAGAAGUCACGCUGUUCUAACUCUUUCACUUGAGGCAAUCGCCAUCAACGAUGACGAUAAGCGGGGCAACGCGAUCAGGAGAGGUCGACUGCAUCUCGUCGACCUCGCUGGAUCCGAGAGACAAGCUAGAACCGGGGCUACGGGGGAUCGUCUGAAGGAAGCUGCCAGCAUUAAUCUGAGUUUGUCGGCCUUGGGGAAUGUUAUAAGUGCAUUGGCAGCUGGUAACGGAAGACAUGUUCCUUACAGGGAUAGCAAAUUAACGAGGCUGUUACGGGACAGCUUGGGAGGAAACGCGCGGACAUUAAUGAUCGCCUGCGUGAGCCCGAGCGACAUUGAUGGCGAAGAAACACUUAGUACCUUACGCUAUGCUGCCAGAGCUCGGUGUAUCAAGAACAAACCUAUCGUUAAUGAAGAUCCCAAGGAUGCUUUGCUCCGUCAAUACCAGUUGGAAUUGCAACGUCUUCGAAAAAUGUUGGAUUCUGGCGAUCAAUUGAACUUUGGAUUGGACUUUCAGAAGGAUCUGGACGAAGACGGAGAGAGUUUGAGAGAGAAACAAUACGUUGAAGAGGUGGAAAGGUUGAGAAAAGAGUGCGAAAACUCGAACGUAUCAGCUCAGAAGCUAAAGGAGGAACUGGAAGCCUUAAAAUCGCGUUACGAGUCAGGAUUGAAUGUGAUCAGCAAUGGUAAUAAAACCAAUCAAGAACAUCAGGGAAUAGACGAAGUGGAUCAAGAGCGUGCGGAAAGGCGAAGAAAAAAGAGAGAGGCAGCUCUGCAGGAUGUAGUGAAAAAGCUGGAAAAAUUAACGAUUGGUGGAGAAGCGAUCGGCAAUGCAGAGCUGAAGAAAAGAAGAGAGAAGAGAAGGAAGAAACUGGAGGCUCUUGUAGGAGCGCUGGAAGCCAAUGACGCCAACGGCAGCGUUUUUCAAGUGUACGGCCAACUGAGAUCUACCGAAGAUGCGUUGAAGAGGAUGGCAAAGCGAGUAAAACAACUGGAAGCCGAGGCGGCGGAUCUUCAAGCGUCCUGGGACGCCGAGCGUCGUGAACUCCUGCGAAGAGAGCUCUUGACGUCCCAGUUGUGCGACCUUAUGGUGCCCCAUCUUCGGCCAGGUUGUCCGUUUCGAGAUAUCGCGUCAGUGAGGGAAGCGGCAACGUGGUGCGAUGAAUUAGGAAGGUGGCGACUGCCGGAUGUAUCUCCUCGUAUUCCCCUGCCUCCGGCACCUGUGCUACAGAGGGAUAUUCUUCAGUCUACUGGGAGUUCCUCAAAAGCGGAUCUCAAUAACAAUAAUAAUAACAAUGGUAGUAACAAUGAUGAAGAUGGAAAUAGUCAGGAUAAUGAUGAGGAAGAGAAUGAUCGUAAAGUUGUGCGGGCUAAAAAAGGUUGGGAUCUUGUAGAUAGUUAUUUUCGAAGAAGCAGGGUGGACACUCUUCUGGCGCACGCGAGAGAAGCAAAGACUUUCGAGCCGGGCAGUCGAUUAAGCAGAUCUGGCGGAUCGGAAGAUGCAAUGCCAAUCGCAGGUGGUAGCGGCUACCUGCAACUGAAUGCGUUGAAUCUGCAGAGCAGCGCACCGGUAAUCGGCGACAACAGCUACAGCCCGAAUCAGCUCAGAUCAGCAAUGCGUGGCGGCUGGGUUUGUGAUGAACAACCCAAAAAGCCAAUCUAUAACUCUUUCAUGAAUAAUUCAAAGAAGCUUCCCCCACGGAUACUAGAGGCUUUACCCUCGUAUCCUCAAGGCGACGCGUCCUUGAAGACGUCACCCUUCAAGUCAACCCUCGGCACAGCAUUGAAGAGAAUACCCGAUAAAGGCGCGUCUAAAUUGCACAACGACGAUACCUUCGCCGGUCAUCAUCCGUUUCACAUUGGACACGCCUGUUCACCGACCUAUUGAUGAAGGAGCUGAUAGAUGUAAGAAAUUUUAAAAUCUUGGCUGUGCACUGAAGUAAAAACUAGGAGAAACUAGAAGAAAUAUGAUGAGAUUUUUCUUCUUAAUCGCCUUAUCUUUAUACUCGCCAAAAUAAGGACCAAAAUCACACAGAUGUUAUUUCCCAGCUGUGUGUAAGUGUGUGCAUACUUAUUGUAAAUAGUAAAGAAAUAUAUAUGUAAAAUGUA
rnacentral:misc_RNA from 1 species